GCCAGACUCCUACGGGAGGCAGCAGUAGGGAAUUUUCGUCAAUGGGGGGAACCCUGAACGAGCAAUGCCGCGUGAGUGAAGAAGGUCUUCGGAUCGUAAAGCUCUGUUGUAAGAGAAAAACGGAUAUCAUAGGGAAUGAUGAUAUCGUGAUGGUAUCUUACCAGAAAGCCACGGCUAACUACGUGCCAGCAGCCGCGGUAAUACGUAGGUGGCAAGCGUUAUCCGGAAUGAUUGGGCGUAAAGGGUGCGUAGGCGGCAAAAUAAGUCUGAAGUAAAAGGCGUUGGCUCAACCAACGUAAGCUUUGGAAACUGUUAAGCUAGCGUGCAGGAGAGGUUAGUGGAAUUCCAUGUGUAGCGGUAAAAUGCGUAGAUAUAUGGAGGAACACCAGUGGCGAAGGCGGCUAACUGGCCUGUAACGGACGCUGAGGCACGAAAGCGUGGGGAGCAAAUAGGAUUAGAUACCCUAGUAAA
rnacentral:rRNA from 1 species